AGAGAAAUUUGGAUUAAUACUCCAUAGUAUUAUAGAGUCACCUGGCUUUAUAAUUAAAGUUCCGGCGGUAAGAGAUGAGUAUGCGUCCUAUUAGCUAGAUGGUAAGGUAACGGCUUACCAUGGCGACGAUAGGUAGGGGUCCUGAGAGGGAGAUCCCCCACACUGGUACUGAGAUACGGUCCAGACUCCUACGGGAGGCAGCAGUAAGGAAUCUUCCGCAAUGGGCGAAAGCCUGACGGAGCGACGCCGCGUGCAGGAUGAAGGUCUUCGGAUCGUAAACUGCUUUUCUGUGGGACGAAAAUUCGGACGGUACCACAGGAAUAAGCGUCGGCUAACUACGUGCCAGCAGCCGCGGUAAUACGUAGGACGCAAGCGUUAUCCGGAUUUACUGGGUUUAAAGCGUGUGCAGGUUGUAGAUUAAGUCUGUGAUUAAAGGCUGAGGCUUAACCUCGGAAAAGUCAUAGAUACUGUUUUACUAGAGGGCAGAAGGGGAAGUGGAAUUCCCGGUGUAGGGGUAAAAUCCGUUGAUAUCGGGAGGAACAUCAGUGGCGAAAGCGACUUCCUAUACUGUUCCUGACACUAAGACACGAAAGCUAGGGGAGCGAAACGGAUUAGAUACCCGUGUAGUCCUAGCUGUAAACGAUGGAUGCUAGACGUUAGAGGUAUCGACCCCUCUAGUGUCGCAGCGAAAACAUUAAGCAUCCCACCUGGGGAGUACGGCCGCAAGGUUAAAACUCAAAGGAAUUGACGGGGACCCGCACGAGCAGCGGAGCGUGUGGCUUAAUACGAUGCUACGCGUA
rnacentral:rRNA from 1 species